GCUUUUUCUCCUCAUUAGCUCCUAUAUAUCACGGUUUAUUGAACCAAGGAGAAUCGAGUUACCUGAACAGUUUGCUGCAGGUGCUGUUCAUGACCAGAGAGUUCAGAGAAGCUGUGGACCGGUACAUCAUGACUCUUAGAGUCUUGCUUAGAGACUUACACAGACACACAGUCGACGCCUGUGACAUCAUAACCAAGCUGCUCACCACAGGUACAGUAUCAGCUGAUACAACAGGCCUGAUGCAAACACACAACAGGACAUGAACUGUCCUGUUAUAAGAUCUAUUGUUUCCUGUCACUGAAGGGUUUAACACAGUCAGACGUUUGUUAAGUGUUUUAUAUUUUUACAGUGUUAUGUCAUAAACACAGCUCGUGUUGAUUUCUGCUCUUCUCUCUGUCAGUGUUUGAGGAACAGGAAGCUGCUGAGGACGUCCAGAGGAUCUCAUUUCCCAACAUGCAUCAGGCUUCACAGGUAAAACAUGGCUGACAUUAAAACCAGUCUGUUAAACUAGAAGAAAGACGCGACUGGUUCAUCAUCUGUGUUUGUGUUUCAGUCCCAGACCAGAUGUUGUAAAUGUGAGACAGGGAGAAGCAGAGAAUCACCACUUUGGCAUCUUCCUCUCACACUGAUGGAUUCAAACAGUGAAGAAUAUAGUUUGGAGGACGGACUGAAGCAGUCUCUCACUGACCAGGUGUCCUGUGAACGGUGCUGUUCCACAAUUGAUGUCAUCACUAAAUGUGAGGUGAAGCAUCAUCCAGAGGUUUUAGUUCUGCUGCUGAAGAGGUUUGACUUUAACAAUAGUAACAUGACGUUUGUCAAAAACAACCGAGCAGUGAAGAUUACUCGCACUUUACAGAUCUCAGAGAAUCAGACGUAUGAGCUUUAUGCUGUCGUGGAUCAUGUGGGUGAACUCAAAGAUGGACGUCAUGCAGUGAUUGUGUCUCUUAAUGAUGGUCGAUGGUACAACUACCAUAAUAACACACACAUAUCGGUGAGACUGAUCAGCUUUAGUGAAAUAAUAGAAACCAGUCAGAUGUUCACACGGUUGUUUACACAUGUUUGUAACGUUUGUUUCUGUUGUUUGUUGGGUUCCAGCCGUUCCAGCACAGUGACACUGAGACGUACGUUUUCAUCUGUUUGCUUUUCACCAUUUUCAUUAUUAAUAAUGAAUUAUUAUUUAUACAAAUGUGAUCUUUUCUUCCUCUCACUUGUCUCCCACUAGUUCCCAGACGGUUCAUCUUCUUUUCUACAGGAAACAAAGAAGUAAGAGAUUUAACCACAUGUUCAGUAGCACAUCAACAAGAUUAGAUAGAGAUAAACUCUCUACUACUCUACUUUCAUGAAUUAACAUUUAAAUUUGUCUUUCAGCUGAUACUUUUAGUCAGGACAUCAGGGAGUUGUUCACUUGUGAAGGUGUCCUGCCUGCUACAAGUGACACCAACCAGAGUCCAUGUACUGAGACUAUGAGACAGAAAGAAGAGUUUAAAGAAGCUGUAGAAGAUGAUGAAGACGCUGCAGAAACUGGUUUUACUGGUGAAAAUGAAGAAACGCUAAUCAAAGUCUAUGUUGAGCCAGGGAAGCCUGAAGCUCAUGAGUGUAAUGUGGAGGAUCAGGACAGUGGAGCUGAUGUCAGACAACAUGAACCACACAUUGAGGAGGACAGAGAUGGAAACAAGCCAGGAAAUAAUGAGACACAAUGAUGAGAACGGGAGGAGAAACGGAGAAACUGACGACCUGACAGAUAAAACAGAGCAGAGGAUCAGGAUGAUGACGGUGUAGAUGACAAGACAACAUGUAAUCUGGAAUCAGAAAUCGGAUAUUUACCAGCUCCAAUGAGCGCGUCCCACCUGCAUGUCCCAUCCAAGUGUGUCCCUGCUGCAGCAGGAUGCCACAGCACAACACAGAGUGUAAAAACGUGGUCUGUCCUCGCUGUAAGUGGGAGUUUUGUUUUGUGUGUCUGAAGCUCACUGACGACUGUCUGAAUCUGAGGAUUGACCUUAAAUAUCAAACUAUAAAUAACAUUUAUAGUGAAGAAUUUGAGCCAUGUUAUAGACGUGUGGCUCCCAGACAGACGUCUAUACCUGUGUGGAGGAAUUCAUGAUGGCGCAGCAGCUAAAGUGAUGAGCUUCAGUUUUUCUUUGAAAUAUUGUUUCUUAAUAUUAACUGUGACUAAAUUCUUGGUUUAAACACACUGUCCUACAACAAUCAAUGUGUACAUGCAUGUGUUUCUUCAAUGACCUCAACAAAUCAUUUUGUGCUUUUGUGAUGGUGACAUUUCCUCAUUCAGCAACUCAGCUUUGUUGUCUGUUAUCUGAGGUGAUAAUGGAAAAGUACCUGAGAUGCAUCUGAUGGAAUGAGACCAGCCCAGUGUUUGACUAACUUGAAGGUCUGUUUACUGGAAAUGACUGUGGUUGUAAUAAACCAAUGCGAUAACAAAAUACUAAAGAAAAG
rnacentral:lncRNA from 1 species